rnacentral:rRNA from 1 species
AGAUUGAACGCUGGCGGCAGGCCUAACACAUGCAAGUCGAGCGGUAGAGAGGUGCUUGCACCUCUUGAGAGCGGCGGACGGGUGAGUAAUGCCUAGGAAUCUGCCUAGUGGUGGGGGAUAACGUUCGGAAACGGACGCUAAUACCGCAUACGUCCUACGGGAGAAAGCGGGGGACCUUCGGGCCUCGCGCCAUUAGAUGAGCCUAGGUCGGAUUAGCUAGUUGGUGAGGUAAAGGCUCACCAAGGCAACGAUCCUUAGCUGGUCUGAGAGGAUGAUCAGUCACACUGGAACUGAGACACGGUCCAGACUCCUACGGGAGGCAGCAGUAGGGAAUCUUGCGCAAUGGGGCGAAAAGCCUGACGCAGCCAUGCCGCGUGAAUGAUGAAGGUCUUAGGAUUGUAAAAUUCUUUACGACCGGGGAAGA